rnacentral:rRNA from 1 species
GACGAACGCUGGCGGCGUGCUUAACACAUGCAAGUCGAACGGAAAGGCCCUUCGGGGUACUCGAGUGGCGAACGGGUGAGUAACACGUGGGUGAUCUGCCCUGCACUUUGGGAUAAGCCUGGGAAACUGGGUCUAAUACCGAAUAGGACCACGCUCUUCAUGGGGUGUGGUGGAAAGCUUUUGCGGUGUGGGAUGGGCCCGCGGCCUAUCAGCUUGUUGGUGGGGUAAUGGCCUACCAAGGCGACGACGGGUAGCCGGCCUGAGAGGGUGACCGGCCACACUGGGACUGAGAUACGGCCCAGACUCCUACGGGAGGCAGCAGUAGGGAAUAUUGCACAAUGGGCGCAAGCCUGAUGCAGCGACGCCGCGUGAGGGAUGACGGCCUUCGGGUUGUAAACCUCUUUCAGUACCGACGAAGCGCAAGUGACGGUAGGUACAGAAGAAGGACCGGCCAACUACGUGCCAGCCGCCGCAGUAACAC